rnacentral:rRNA from 1 species
UGGGGAAUUUUGGACAAUGGGCGAAAGCCUGAUCCAGCAAUGCCGCGUGUGUGAAGAAGGCCUUCGGGUUGUAAAGCACUUUUGUCCGGAAAGAAAUCCUUGGCUCUAAUACAGUCGGGGGAUGACGGUACCGGAAGAAUAAGCACCGGCUAACUACGUGCCAGCAGCCGCGGUAAUACGUAGGGUGCAAGCGUUAAUCGGAAUUACUGGGCGUAAAGCGUGCGCAGGCGGUUUGCUAAGACCGAUGUGAAAUCCCCGGGCUCAACCUGGGGAACUGCAUUGGUGACUGGCAGGCUAGAGUAUGGCAGAGGGGGGUAGAAUUCCACGUGUAGCAGUGAAAUGCGUAGAGAUGUGGAGGAAUACCGAUGGCGAAGGCAGCCCCCUGGGCCAAUACUGACGCUCAUGCACGAAAGCGUGGGGGAGCAAAACAGGAUUAGAUACCCUGGUAGUCCACGCCCUAAACGAUGUCAACUAGUUGUUGGGGAUUCAUUUCCUUAGUAACGUAGCUAACGCGUGAAGUUGACCGCCUGGGGAGUACGGUCGCAAGAUUAAAACUCAAAGGAAUUGACGGGGUCAUAGCUGUUUCCU